rnacentral:rRNA from 1 species
AGUGAACGCUGGCGGUAGGCCUAACACAUGCAAGUCGAACGGCAGCACAGUAAGAGCUUGCUCUUACGGGUGGCGAGUGGCGGACGGGUGAGGAAUACAUCGGAAUCUACUUUUUCGUGGGGGAUAACGUAGGGAAACUUACGCUAAUACCGCAUACGACCUACGGGUGAAAGCAGGGGAUCUUCGGACCUUGCGCGAUUGAAUGAGCCGAUGUCGGAUUAGCUAGUUGGCGGGGUAAAGGCCCACCAAGGCGACGAUCCGUAGCUGGUCUGGGAGGAUGGUCAGCCACACUGGAACUGAGACACGGUCCAGACUCCUACGGGAGGCAGCAGUGGGGAAUAUUGGACAAUGGGCGCAAGCCUGAUCCAGCCAUACCGAGUGGGUGAAGAAGGCCUUCGGGUUGUAAGGCCCUUUUGUUGGGAAAGAAAAGCAGCAGGUUAAUACCCCGCUGUUCUGACGGUACCCAAAGAAUAAGCACCGGCUAGCUUCGUG